UAUUAAAAAUUUUAUUCAUUUCUAUCGUUAAAAACUGGUGUGGCUUACCUCAUUUUGAUAUAUAUGGAUCAAUUUUUAACGUAGAAAUGGAUGAAAGUUUUAACA
rnacentral:pre_miRNA from 1 species